rnacentral:rRNA from 1 species
AACGCGAAGAACCUUACCUGGCCUUGACAUGCAUCUCUAAACCGGUGAAAGCCGGCGAGUCUCGAAAGAGACAAUUUGCACAGGUGCUGCAUGGCUGUCGUCAGCUCGUGUCGUGAGAUGUUGGGUUAAGUCCCGCAACGAGCGCAACCCUUGUGAACUGUUGCCACUCCCUUUGUUGGGAAGCACUCUGUUCAGACUGCCCUGUGAAACGGGGAGGAAGGUGAGGAUGACGUCAAGUCAGUAUGGCCCUUACGGCCAGGGCUGCACACGUACUACAAUGCCCAGUACAGAACGAUCCGAGACCGCGAGGUGGAGGAAAUCUAACAAAACUGGGCCCAGUUCGGAUUGGAGUCUGCAACUCGACUCCAUGAAGCCGGAAUCGCUAGUAAUGGCGUAUCAGCUACGACGCCGUGAAUACGUUCCCGGGCCUUGUA